rnacentral:rRNA from 1 species
ACAUCCAAGGAAGGCAGCAGGCGCGCAAAUUACCCACUCUCAAAACGAGGAGGUAGUGAAGAGAAAUAACGAUGUUAGUCUAUUAUAGGCUGACAAUCGGAAUGGGAACACUGUAAACAGGUUAUCGAUUAACAAUUGGAGGGCAAGUCUGGUGCCAGCAGCCGCGGUAAUUCCAGCUCCAAUAAGGAAAACUAAAGUUGCUGUGUUUAAAAAGCUCGUAGUUGAAUUUCGGGUAUUUGUUGCUAGCUGGUCUCACUGGCCAUGUUGGUUAACAGAUCCUCAUUUGCUGGACGGCUGGCGAUGAUCUUUAUCGAUUGUCGUCAGUUGCCAGAACGUUUACUUUGAGAAAAUUAGAGUGCUAAAAGCAGGCUCACGCCUAUAUAUAUAUUGCAUGGAAUAAUGAAAUAAGAUCUCGAUUUUAUUUCGUUGGUUUUAGAAAUUGAGAUAAUGAUUAAUAGGAUCAGAGGGGGGCGUACGUACUGUGGUGUGAGAGGUGAAAUUCUUGGAUCGCCACAGGACGAACAGCAGCGAAGGCGUUCGCCAAGAAUGUUUUCAUUAAUCAAGAACGAAAGUUUGAGGUUCGAAGACGAUUAGAUACCGUCCUAGUUCAAACCAUAAACGUUGCCAACUGUCUUUUAGAUGCGGUUAUUUACAUGACUCAUCUGGCGGAUCUCGAGAAAUCUAAGUUUUUAGGUUCCGGGGGAAGUAUGGUUGCAAAGCUGAAACUUAAAGAAUUGACGGAAGGACACA